UCGCGCUGCCACCAAGAUGGCGGCGCCCAUGGCCCCCUGCUUCGCCUUGGCAGGGUGGCGGGUUGACACCCCAGGCUCAUCAGAAGUCUGGCCCACGGGGCUGCGUGAUGCCGCUCGGGGGCUCACGGUUGCUGGCGGCGCAGAAUAUUCAAAAGCUCAAGGGGUUCUUACCUGAGAAGGGAAGGAAGAGCUCUUGCCCCAUGAACAGGGCAGUUUUUCCCAGACCAUCUGCUUCGGAGUCCACACCACGGCCACCUCAGGUAUAUGGAAGUUUGGCCCUAGAACUUAACCCUGUGGCCUGCUGGCAUCAGAACAAGGAAUGGGGCACACUCCACGCCUCCAGUAGCCCAAGAAAAGAACUUACAUUCAGGAUGCAAUCCAUGGAACCAGGAAAGAAUGACCUUGGUGACCGACUGAAAAAAUGAAAACCGAACAUAAGUAAAUGUUAGAGACCACUGAAAGCAACGACGGCUGAUUCCUUUCUUGGACCUCAGGAAAAGUGUACAGAAUACCAUUCAGAAUCCUCUGCUCAAGGAUCUACUAGAAGGAUAAUUAUUUAUUGACUGUAGUCCUCUUCCAGUAGUAGAUUACCCAAGCCUUCCUUGCACUUCCACACUUGCACAGUAGGUUCUGCUGGUGUUCUCAAUAUUGGAGAAGCCCUGAAGCAGGCAGAAAUAUGUGACACACUCUUAAGGCAAGACACUGUCUGAGCCAGAUUGAAAGGCAUGACUAAACUUCAAGGUAAAACAGAGGGGAUUUAGAGAGUUGCACAGUUCUGAUACAAGUUCAAGAGAACUAAUGGAGCAAAGUGUGUUUUGUGUUUAUUGACCAUUUGGACUCGUCUUUUAUAAAGUGAUACUUGAAGUUUCAUUGUUUUAUAUGAUAUCAGCUUUGUGUGUUUUACUUUUAAUUUGUAGAAAUGUUUUAUAUGAUGGAAUUACAAUUACUUUAUCACUCACAUGUGCUGUAAAUAUCAUCUCAUUUCACCUUGCCAUUUUUCUUUCUUACCCAUGGGUUUGCUGAACAGAAGAUCCGAUUUUAAUGUUGUCUAAUUUUUCAAGCUUUGUAUUUGUAAUUAUUUUUGUGCCUCAGUAAAGGAAUCUUUUCCUAUAAAAAGUUUGUGGAGGGAAGCCUGGGUAGCUCAGCGGUUUAGCGCCGCCUUCAGCCCAGGGUAUGACCCUGGAGACCUGGGAUGGAGUCCCACGUCGGGCUCCCUAUGUGGAGCCUGCUUCUCCCUCUGCCU